GAUGAACGCUGGCGGCGUGCCUAACACAUGCAAGUCGAACGAUGAAGCCCAGCUUGCUGGGUGGUUUAGUGGCGAACGGGUGAGUAACACGUGAGCAACCUGCCCCUGACUCUGGGAUAAGUGCUGGAAACGGCGCCUAAUACUGGAUAUGUCCCGUCACCGCAUGGUGUGCGGGUGGAAAGAUUUUUCGGUUGGGGAUGGGCUCGCGGCCUAUCAGCUUGUUGGUGAGGUAAUGGCUCACCAAGGCGUCGACGGGUAGCCGGCCUGAGAGGGUGACCGGCGACACUGGGACUGAGACACGGCGCAGACUCCUACGGGAGGCAGCAGGGGAGAGUAUUGCACAGUGGGCGGAAGCCUGAUGCAGCGACGCCGCGUGAGGGAUGACGGCCUUCGAGUUGUAAACCUCUUUUAGCAGAGAAGAAGCGGAAGUGACGUUACCUGCAGAAAAAGCACCGGCUAACUACGUG
rnacentral:rRNA from 1 species